rnacentral:rRNA from 1 species
CCCUUAGAUGUUCUGGGCCGCACGCGCGCUACACUGAUGCAUUCAACGAGUUUCUUCCUGGUCCGAGAGGAAUGGGUAACCUUUUGAAAGUGCAUCGUGAUAGGGAUAGACUAUUGCAAUUAUUGGUCUUCAACGAGGAGUUCCUAGUAGACGUAGUUCAUCAGACUGCAUCGAUUACGUCCCUGCCCUUUGUACACACCGCCCGUCGCUACUACCGAUUGAAUGGUUUAGUGAGAUCUUCGGAUUGGCGCCACUGCGGCUCAGCAAUGGGCUCGGUGGAUGCCGAAAAGUUGAUCAAACUUGAUCAUUUAGAGGAAGUAAAAGUCGUAACA